rnacentral:rRNA from 1 species
CCUCUGCAAUGCGGGAAACCGUGACAGGGGGAUCCCAAGUGCUCAUGCAUUGCAUGGGCUGUUCUUUGGUCUAAGUAACCAGAGGAGUAAGGGCUGGGCAAGACCGGUGCCAGCCGCCGCGGUAAUACCGGCAGCUCAAGUGGUAGCCGCGAUUAUUGGGCCUAAAACGUUCGUAGCCGGAUAAGUAAGUCUUUGGUUAAAUCCUGCGACUCAACCGUGGGAAUUCUAGAGAUACUGCUUGUCUUGAGACCGGGAGAGGUUGGAGGUACUCCUAGGGUAGGGGUGGAAUCCUGUAAUCCUAGGGGGACCACCUGUGGCGAAGGCGUCCAACUGGAACGGGUCUGACGGUGAGGGACGAAACCUAGGGGAGCGAGCCGG